CCCUUAGAUGUUCUGGGCCGCACGCGCGCUACACUGAUUCAUGCAACAAGUUUUGUCCUUGGCUGAUAGGCCUGGGUAAUCUUUGAACGUGAAUCGUGAUGGGGAUAGAUGAUUGCAAUUAUUCAUCUUCAACGAGGAAUUCCUAGUAAACGCAAGUCAUCAGCUUGCAUUGAUUACGUCCCUGCCCUUUGUACACACCGCCCGUCGCACCUACCGAUUGAAUGGUCCGGUGAAAUCUCGGGACGGCGGCUUGGUCGCUUGCGUCCGACUGCUGAAACUUGAUUAAACCAUNUNAUUUAUNGGAAGGUGAANUCGUANCA
rnacentral:rRNA from 1 species